rnacentral:misc_RNA from 1 species
AAGUGAGGAAGCUAUUGAAACUGCCAAGCUAGUUACUUUGAAAGAAGGUUUGCUGGUGGGAAUAUCAUCCGGUGCUGUAGCUGCUGCUGCUAUGAAGCUGGCAAAGAGAUCAGAAAAUGCUGGGAAACUCAUUGUAGUAAGUCUGAUUAGCACAAAAAUUGGUCCUGUCACUCCCUGCAAGCAUAGUCUGCUAAGGAUGCUAGUACCAUGCCUAACUCAUCGAAUGGAUUAACUUCUCGCAUCUGUAGGUGAUUGCCAUCCAAUAUGCUGUACACGUACCAAGUCAUUUUGUUUUGUUUGCUGUGCAGGUAGUUUUUGCCAGUGCUGGGGAGCGUUAUCUGUCCUCUAGGUUGUUUGAGUCCCUUAGACACGAAGCUGAAAAAAUGACUUUUGAUUAAGAUCACAAUGAGGGUAGGAUAGGCCUUCAUAGGCCCUGUUUUCAGUAUAUUAUAAUAUUUCUGGAACUUAUGAUUUGUUUUUAGUUAUGCACUUGUCUUGGUAAGGGCUGAACUAAUGCAGGCCUUCAUCACCGCAAUUUUGAGUUGAAGUAAGCACCCCUCCAAUGUGCAAAUGAAAGCCACCCUCAAGGCCAUGUGCCUUCUAUGUUACUCAUUCUCCUAAUAUAAAAUAAAUGAACAAGUUUAUCCUUCACAUAUAAUGUAAUCAAUUGUCCUCGAUGAUUCUUAAGCAACUUAAUCAUAUAGGAUUGGCCUAUAUCAUUGUUGAACUGAAUGUAUAUAUAAAUUCCAAGUAGGAUUUUGAUAUGUUUAUGACAUAUUUUAAUUAGUUUUUCAUGCAGAUCAUAGCAAGUUAAACAAUUGACAAUCAAAAGGCCGGGAAAUUAUGAGUAUUGUACAGCAUUUUUA